GCCUUUAGUCCCAGUUACUUGGGAGGCUGAGGUGAGAGGAUCGCUUGAGUGCAGGAGAACUGGGCUUUAGUGCGCUAUGUCAAUCAGAUGCCCACACUAAGUUCAGCAUCAAUAUGGUGACAUCCCGGGAGUGGGGGACCAGCACGUUGCCUAAAGAGGGGUGAACCAACCUGGGUUGGAAAUGGAGCAGGUCAAAACUCCUGUGCUGAUCGGUAGUGGGAUCGUGCUUGUGAAUAGCCACUGCGCUCCAGCCUGGGCAAUGUAGUGAGACCCUAUCU
rnacentral:SRP_RNA from 10 species